AGAGAGAGACAUGCGUGCAUAUCAAUAAGCGGAGGAAAAGAAACUAACAAGGAUUCCCUUAGUAACGGCGAGUGAAGCGGGAAGAGCUCAAAUUUGAAAUCUUAAAGGGUUUCCCUUUACGAAUUGUAGUUUAAAGAAGUGUUUUCUGUUGAGGUUUUGGUAAAAGUUCUUUGGAAUAGGACAUCAUAGAGGGUGAGAAUCCCGUAUUUGACCUUUACUUUCAACUUUGUGAUACACUUUCAAAGAGUCGGAUUGUUUGGGAAUGCAGUCCAAAAUGGGUGGUAAAUUUCAUCUAAAGCUAAAUAUUGGCGAGAGACCGAUAGCGAACAAGUACCGUGAGGGAAAGAUGAAAAGAACUUUGAAAAGAGAGUUAAACAGUACGUGAAAUUGUCAAAAGGGAAGCGUUUGACACCAGUGUUGUUUUUCUGAAAAUCAAUUAAAGAACUGUUUAUGCUAAGUUGUUUAGACUUUAUCAGCUAACUGUUUAGUUUUGAGCUUUUCUUUAAUGCACUUUUCAGUUAACAAGUCAACAUCAAUUUCUUUUGCUGUAAAAAAGCUUGAGGAAGGUGGCUUGAGAUUCGUCUUAAGUGUUUAUAGCCUCUUGCCUAUGCAGUCGGAGAGAUUGAGGUCUGCAGCGUAGAUCCUUCGGGGCUAAAUGCAUUUGUGCUAAGUUAUAGCAUUUUAUAGACAACUUGUUGACUAUGAUUUGUCUUGUAGCUUACUCGCUUAUGUUAUUUUACCUACGCUUAGGAUGUUGAGCGCAUGUCUCUCUCU
rnacentral:rRNA from 1 species